UAUUAUUAUCACUAUUUUUUCUUUCUUCUUUUUUCUUUUUUCUCUUUUUUCUUCUCCACUUCUCCUUCGUAUUCUCUCUCAACUAACCUAAGCACUAUCCUCAUAAUGUUCCUUUUACAUACAAGAGUUUUGAGGUAACUGAGAAGAUCUUUUCUUGUACAUCUUGAGUAUUCCAUUUUGUUUCAAACCCACUUGGGUGUGUACAAUUUGCUACUCAAAAAUAUAUGUUAUUAGCCAAAUGCCUCGUCAUCUAAUUAGUGACGCGCAUGAAUGGAUUGACGAGAUUCCCACUGUCCCUAUCUACUAUCUAGCGAAACCACAGCUGUUUAACCAAACUAUUAGAUGACCCCAAGGGUUAUCUAAAAAAUUCAGAACUAAACUUCACGAUGAGAAGGGGAGUGAGACAGGGCAGUAAAGAAGGUCCGGU
rnacentral:ncRNA from 1 species